rnacentral:rRNA from 1 species
AGCGGUAGAGAGAAGCUUGCUUCUCUUGAGAGCGGCGGACGGGUGAGUAAUGCCUAGGAAUCUGCCUGGUAGUGGGGGAUAACGUUCGGAAACGAACGCUAAUACCGCAUACGUCCUACGGGAGAAAGCAGGGGACCUUCGGGCCUUGCGCUAUCAGAUGAGCCUAGGUCGGAUUAGCUAGUUGGUGAGGUAAUGGCUCACCAAGGCGACGAUCCGUAACUGGUCUGAGAGGAUGAUCAGUCACACUGGAACUGAGACACGGUCCAGACUCCUACGGGAGGCAGCAGUGGGGAAUAUUGGACAAUGGGCGAAAGCCUGAUCCAGCCAUGCCGCGUGUGUGAAGAAGGUCUUCGGAUUGUAAAGCACUUUAAGUUGGGAGGAAGGGCAUUAACCUAAUACGUUAGUGUUUUGACGUUACCGACAGAAUAAGCACCGGCUAACUCUGUGCCAGCAGCCGCGGUAAUACAGAGGGUGCAAGCGUUAAUCGGAAUUACUGGGCGUAAAGCGCGCGUAGGUGGUUUGUUAAGUUGGAUGUGAAAUCCCCGGGCUCAACCUGGGAACUGCAUUCAAAACUGACUGACUAGAGUAUGGUAGAGGGUGGUGGAAUUUCCUGUGUAGCGGUGAAAUGCGUAGAUAUAGGAAGGAACACCAGUGGCGAAGGCGACCACCUGGACUAAUACUGACACUGAGGUGCGAAAGCGUGGGGAGCAAACAGGAUUAGAUACCCUGGUAGUCCACGCCGUAAACGAUGUCAACUAGCCGUUGGAAGCCUGAGCUUUU